AGUACGUGAAACCGUUCAGGGGUAAACCUGAGAAACCCAAAAGAUCGAAUGGGGAGAUUCAUCGCCAGCGAUUUUGGCAGGUGUGCGGUUCGCGAUGCCGGAGGCUGCGGUUUCCGGGCACGCGUCCGCAUGUCCAUUGCCUUAAACGUCGGCGUGCACUUCUCCCCUAGUAGGACGUCGCGACCCGUUGGGUGUCGGUCUACGGCCCGGGCGGUAGCCUGUCUCGUGUUCGCUUCACGGCGUUACGCGGUUCAGACCCCCGGUUGCCCGACCGGCUGCUCGGCGGUACGCGCACGGUAUCUGGUCGCAAAUAUUUAAACUGCGUCCGGCCCGUCGCAAGCGAGGCAAGUGUUUCCCGUCUGUUUAACGGAUCUAAUGCCGGCACCGGGCCUUGCCAGCUGUUGGUUGACGGUGUCCUAGGACAGGCCAAUGCAAUUAUGAUACCGGUCGGCGACGCUACUGCUUUGGGUACUUUCAGGACCCGUCUUGAAACACGGACCAAGGAGUCUAACAUGUGCGCGAGUCAUUGGGUAUUAUUAAGCCUAAAGGCGCAAUGAAAGUGAAGGUCGGCCUCGCGCCGACCGAGGGAGGAUGGGCCGCGUCACGAUGCGGUCCCGCACUCCCGGGGCGUCUCGUUCUCAUUGCGAGAAGAGGCGCACCCAGAGCGUACACGUUGGGACCCGAAAGAUGGUGAACUAUGCCUGGUCAGGACGAAGUCAGGGGAAACCCUGAUGGAGGUCCGUAGCGAUUCUGACGUGCAAAUCGAUCGUCGGAACUGGGUAUAGGGGCGAAAGACUAAUCGAACCAUCU
rnacentral:rRNA from 1 species